UUUUUUUAAGACAAGGUCUCACUAUGUAGCCUUGGCUGGCCUGGAACUUUCUAUGCAGUCCAGGCUGGCCUCACACAGAUCCAUGUGUCUCUCCUUUUGCCUCCUGAGUGCUGGGAUUAAGGUUGUGCACUGCCAUUGUUUGACAAGAAACCUGGAUCUGCAGACUGUGAUAAACUUCGUAUGGUCAGUGCCAAACGCAGUGACCCUCAGCUGGUCUCUGGAGCUUCAGAACCAUGUCUUCUGUGUGAUGUUGUCUUGGCUACUGUGAGGAAAUUUAGAGAGAAAGAAGCCCCCAAUUGGCAAAGACAUUGGCCACCGUUGGACAUAGUCAAGUCACAUCCUGAUAGACAUUUCUCAGCUGUACUUAAAGGGACUGAAGGAAGCAAUGAAGGAAUGGUUCACUUCUCUGAUGGCCUUCUCUUACCUGAAGGUGUGGUGAGAAAGGCAAAAUUGAGUCUGUGGAACACCUCAUCUUAAGCCAGGCUGAGGCAACAAAUGCUAUGGCUCCAACUUCAGUCUCAGUGAAUGUUGGUAGGUGAAGAGUAAAUCAUGAAGCAACUGGCUCAGAAAUGCGCUAGUCAUCCCCACCCCCAACGCAGUGGCUAUGUGGGUGCUGGAUAAGGCCUGUCCUCUACUCUGAAAAACAACAUAGGAGUAAAGCAGUAAGUCUUUGUCUUCCCUUUCUGUAAUGCAGAAAGGCUCAGAACACCCAGAUCGUCACAUUCUGGUUUCUUCUUAUAUCACAGUUCCCUCUUCAACUCAUCUCUCCCUCUUCUUGCAUCUGCAGGCAGUCGGGGAAUCAAGCUGCCCUUCAACACUCUGAACGUGUCCUCAAGCCAACUAGCAACUCAUUGGCAUUCAAGUCCUACCUUCCACAGGGUGCUAAGAUGUAAACAUACUAGUCAGGCCUUUGUGGUGUUGUCAUACUGAUGUCACGAUGAUGGCUUCUUAUCCUUUGUUCAGCAGCACUGUGCUUAUUUCCUCCCAAGAGUUCAUCAGAAUGGGCUUUGCCAUCCAUUCCAAUCAGCAGUCUGUUCGGAAUUAUGUGCCCUUUUUCAAGGGAGAGCAAAACCUUCUUCCUAGCUUUCCCCAUCUACAGCUGAGUCCUUAUCACAAUCAUCCUCAAAUGGUCCCUUCAUGCAAUGCUCUGUCCAUCUUGCAAACACCUCAGAACUUUUCCCAUCUCUAUCAUCUCAUCCUAAACCCAGGCUUGCACUUUUAGAUAUUUGUUCUCACAGCAUCCCAUUUCUUGCAACCACUUUUUUUUUUAUUAUGCUUGGGCUGCUGUCAGAAGAAUAACAGAGUUGUUUAACAACAAGAAUUUGUUUGUUUGUUUAUAUAUACCAGAGGCUGGGAAAUACAAGAUCAAGGGGCCAGCAGUCUUGGUAUCUUUGUGUCUGGCUCUCUAGUUUUUAUUUGCCUGAUGUCUUCCUGUAUCUAUGGGGGAGUGUGAGACCAUCUCUCUCAUGGCUGCUUUGAUUGGGUUACUAAUCCCUUUGAGGAGGGCAGCAUCCCCACUAUCAGAUU
rnacentral:lncRNA from 1 species